GGGCCUACGGGGCGCAGCAGUGAGGAAUAUUGGUCAAUGGCCGGGAGGCUGAACCAGCCAAGUCGCGUGAGGGAAGACGGCCCUACGGGUUGUAAACCUCUUUUGUCAGGGAGCAAGGUGCAGGUCGGGACCUGCUGUGAGAGUACCUGAAGAAAAAGCAUCGGCUAACUCCGUGCCAGCAGCCGCGGUAAUACGGAGGAUGCGAGCGUUACCCGGAUUUAUUGGGUUUAAAGGGUGCGUAGGCGGUCCGGAAAGUCAGCGGUAAA
rnacentral:rRNA from 1 species